UACGAAGGGAGCUAGCGUUGUUCGGAAUCACUGGGCGUAAAGCGCACGUAGGCGGACUCUUAAGUCGGUGGUGAAAUCCUGGAGCUCAACUCCAGAACUGCCUCCGAUACUGGGAGCCUUCGAGUCCGGGAGAGGUGAGUGGAACUGCGAGUGUAGAGGUGAAAUUCGUAGAUAUUCGCAAGAACACCAGUGGCGAAGGCGGCUCACUGGCCCGGUACUGACGCUGAGGUGCGAAAGCGUGGGGAGCAAACAGG
rnacentral:rRNA from 1 species